rnacentral:rRNA from 1 species
AACGAACGCUGGCGGCAUGCCUAACACAUGCAAGUCGAACGAGACCUUCGGGUCUAGUGGCGCACGGGUGCGUAACGCGUGGGGACCUACCCUUAGGUUCGGAAUCACUCCCCGAAGGGGGUGCUCAUACCGGAUAAUGUCUUCGGGCCAAAGAUUUAUCGCCUUUGGAUGGGCCCGCGUUGGAUUCGCUGGUUGGUAGUGUAAAAGCCUACCAAGGCGACGAUCCAUAGCUGGUGUGAGAGGAUGAUCAGCCACACUGGGACUGAGACACGGCCCAGACUCCUACGGGAGGCAGCAGUGGGGAAUAUUGGAGGAUGGGCGAAAGCCUGAUCCAGCAAUGCCGCGUGAGUGAUGAAGGCCGUAGGGUUGUAAAGCUCUUUUACCCGGGAUGAUAAUGACAGUACCGGGAGAAUAAGCUCCGGCUAACUCCGUG